rnacentral:RNase_P_RNA from 1 species
CGAGCCGGAAAGGUGGUCGCUGGCGAGGAGGCGUGUUUCGAUCUUCGCUGGAGGAAAGUCCGGGCUCCGCAGGGCAGGGUGGCGGGCAACGCCCGCCGGCCGCAAGGCCAGGGAUAGCGCAACAGAAAGCAGACCGCCGUGCCGCGGCAACGCGGUGCGGUAAGGGUGAAACGGUGAGGUAAGAGCUCACCAGCAGGCGGGGCAACUCGUCUGGCUCGGCAAGCCCCACCCGGAGAAAGACCAAAUAGGGGAGGAGGACGCGGCCCGCGUCGUCAGCACUCCCGGGUAGGUCGUUCGAGGUCGCCGGCGACGGCGAUCCCAGAGGAAUGAUCACCACGCCUGCGUGUCGGCCGGCUCGUCCGGUCGGCAUGGCGGGCGAACAGAACCCGGCUUAAUGAACGCUCGGCCG